AUGGCGAACGCCACCCUGCUUCUCCUCAUCACGGUGCUGGCCACGACCAGCGGCAUUGCCUCAGCCACGGCAGGCGCCAGCGAGAGCACCGGGCCGCCGGCAAGGAGGAGCCGUUUCCUGCUUGUUGGCGGCGCUGCCCACCUGCCUCUGUCGGCGUACGAGUGCUCGAAGAAGUCGGCCGAAGCAUGCCUCGCGACGGGGACGACGUGCUGCAGCGGCCAGUGCGUGGACACCGUCGCCAGCGCCCAGCACUGCGGCGGCUGCAACAAGGCGUGCAAGCAUGGCCGGACGUGUUGUGGCGGGCACUGUGUGGAUCUGCUCUCUGACAAGAAGAACUGCGGCACCUGCUCUAACCGAUGCAACGACAAGUGCAGCUACGGCUUCUGUGACUACGCGCAGUAA
rnacentral:rRNA from 1 species